GAUAUGGCUCAGGAUGAACGCUAGCUACAGGCUUAACACAUGCAAGUCGAGGGGCAGCAUGAACUUAGCUUGCUAAGUUUGAUGGCGACCGGCGCACGGGUGAGUAACACGUAUCCAACCUGCCGAUGACUCGGGGAUAGCCUUUCGAAAGAAAGAUUAAUACCCGAUGGCAUAGUUCUUCCGCAUGGUAGAACUAUUAAAGGAUUUCGGUCAUCGAUGGGGAUGCGUUCUAUUAGGUUG
rnacentral:rRNA from 1 species